rnacentral:rRNA from 1 species
UUCAUGGAGAGUUUGAUCCUGGCUCAGGACGAACGCUGGCGGCGUGCUUAACACAUGCAAGUCGAACGAUGAUGGUGGUGCUUGCACCGCCUGAUUAGUGGCGAACGGGUGAGUAACACGUGAGUAACCUGCCCCCCUCUUCGGGAUAACCUCGAGAAAUCGAGGCUAAUACCGGAUAUGAGCUUCCGCCGCAUGGUGGUUGCUGGAAAGUUUUUCGGUGGGGGAUGGACUCGCGGCCUAUCAGUUUGUUGGUGAGGUAAUGGCUCACCAAGGCGAUGACGGGUAGCCGGCCUGAGAGGGCGACCGGCCACACUGGGACUGAGACACGGCCC